rnacentral:lncRNA from 1 species
CUAUUUAGUUCUGUUUUAGGUGUCAUAUUCAUUAUUUCUAUUGGAUUUUUGGAUGGUGGUAUUAUUUUUGUGAAAGGUUUAUUUGUUUGUUUUCUAGCAGGAUCUAUAUUAUAUGGUUUUGCAUCACUAUAUCUUUGUGAGAAAUAAGUUGUAUUUGGUUUGGGUAUUGUAGGUGAUGGUGUUUGAGGUGUUUCUACAUGUUCUAUAUUUGUUAUAGCCUCAUAAUUUCUUUCUAUCUUUUCUUCCAUUCUGUCUAAUUGUUUUCCUAUGAUAUGUACAGUUAUAUUAUUCCAGUUGUUUUGUAAAUUGAUAUUUCUUAUGUCACUAUUACGUAUAUCUUGUGUAUGAAUUAUAGGUUGUAUUGCUUCAUAAGCAUGGUCUUUUUUAAAAAAGGCUUUUUCUAAAGG